UACCGGGAUCGAACCCAGGAUCUCUGGUAUGAUAGAUCAGUGCGCUGUCUGUCAUGCCACGUUCGUACUUUAUAUUUAUUGUUCGCGC